rnacentral:rRNA from 1 species
AUAAGGGCGCACGGUGGAUGCCUUGGCACUAGGAGCCGAUGAAGGACGGGACUAACACCGAUAUGCUUUGGGGAGCUGUACGUAAGCUAUGAUCCAGAGAUUUCCGAAUGGGGGAACCCAACAUCUUUAAUAGGAUGUUACGAUUGUGUGAAUACAUAGCACAUUCGAGGUAGACGCAGAGAACUGAAACAUCUAAGUACCUGCAGGAAGAGAAAGAAAAUUCGAUUCCCUGAGUAGCGGCGAGCGAAACGGGAAAAGCCCAAACCAGCAAGCUUGCUUGUUGGGGUUGUAGGACUCCAAUAUGGUAGUUCUUUCAGAUAGUCGAAUGACUUGGAAAAGUCAGUCAAAGAGGGUAAAAACCCCGUAGACGAAAUGUGGAAGACACCUAGGAGGAUCCUGAGUACGGCGGAACACGAGAAAUUCCGUCGGAAUCCGGGAGGACCAUCUCCCAAGGCUAAAUACUCCCUAGUGACCGAUAGUGAACCAGUACCGUGAGGGAAAGGUGAAAAGCACCCCGGAAGGGGAGUGAAAUAGAACCUGAAACCGUGUGCCUACAACAAGUCAAAGCCCGUUAAUGGGUGAUGGCGUGCCUUUUGUAGAAUGAACCGGCGAGUUACGAUUGCAUGCGAGGUUAAGUUGAAGAGACGGAGCCGCAGCGAAAGCGAGUCUGAAUAGGGCGUUUGAGUAUGUAGUCGUAGACCCGAAACCAUGUGAUCUACCCAUGUCCAGGUUGAAGGUGCGGUAAAACGCACUGGAGGACCGAACCCACGUACGUUGAAAAGUGCGGGGAUGAGGUGUGGGUAGCGGAGAAAUUCCAAACGAACUUGGAGAUAGCUGGUUCUCUCCGAAAUAGCUUUAGGGCUAGCCUCGGAAUUGAGAAUGAUGGAGGUAGAGCACUGUUUGGACUAGGGGCCCAUCUCGGGUUACCGAAUUCAGAUAAACUCCGAAUGCCAUUCAUUCAUAUCCGGGAGUCAGACUGUGAGUGAUAAGAUCCAUAGUCGAAAGGGAAACAGCCCAGACCACCAGCUAAGGUCCCAAAAUAUAUGUUAAGUGGAAAAGGAUGUGGGGUUGCACAGACAACUAGGAUGUUGGCUUAGAAGCAGCCACCAUUUAAAGAGUGCGUAAUAGCUCACUAGUCGAGUGACCCUGCGCCGAAAAUGUACCGGGGCUAAACAUAUUACCGAAGCUGUGGAGUACACCUUUAGGUGUAUUGGUAGGAGAGCGUUCUAAGGGCGUUGAAGGCAGAUCGUGAGGACUGCUGGAGCGCUUAGAAGUGAGAAUGCCGGUAUGAGUAGCGAAAGACAGGUGAGAAUCCUGUCCACCGAAUGACUAAGGUUUCCUGGGGAAGGCUCGUCCGCCCAGGGUUAGUCGGGACCUAAGCCGAGGCCGACAGGCGUAGGCGAUGGAUAACAGGUUGAUAUUCCUGUACCCGUUGUUUUUGUUUGAGCAAUGGAGGGACGCAGGAGGCUAAGGAAUGCAGACGAUCGGAAAUGUCUGUCCAAGCAGUAAGUCUGAAGAGGAGUCAAAUGCUUCUUUUCUUAAGGACAAGCUGUGAUGGGGAGGGAAAUAAUAGUACCGAAGUUCCUGAUGUCACACUGCCGAGAAAAGCUUCUAGUGAGAAAACAGCGGCCCGUACCGCAAACCGACACAGGUAGUCGAGGAGAGAAUCCUAAGGUGAGCGAGAGAACUCUCGUUAAGGAACUCGGCAAAAUGACCCCGUAACUUCGGGAGAAGGGGUGCUGAUCAUACGAUCAGCCGCAGUGAAUAGGCCCAAGCGACUGUUUAUCAAAAACACAGGUCUCUGCAAAAUCGUAAGAUGAAGUAUAGGGGCUGACGCCUGCCCGGUGCUGGAAGGUUAAGAGGAGUGCUUAGCGCAAGCGAAGGUACGAAUUGAAGCCCCAGUAAACGGCGGCCGUAACUAUAACGGUCCUAAGGUAGCGAAAUUCCUUGUCGGGUAAGUUCCGACCCGCACGAAAGGCGUAACGAUUUGGGCACUGUCUCAACGAGAGACUCGGUGAAAUUUUAGUACCUGUGAAGAUGCAGGUUACCCGCGACAGGACGGAAAGACCCCAUGGAGCUUUACUGUAGUUUGAUAUUGAGUGUCUGUACCGCAUGUACAGGAUAGGUAGGAGCCGUAGA